rnacentral:rRNA from 1 species
GGAGUCUGGGCCGUGUCUCAGUCCCAAUGUGGCCGUUCACCCUCUCAGGCCGGCUACUGAUCGUCGCCUUGGUGGGCCGUUACCCCGCCAACAAGCUAAUCAGACGCGGGUCCAUCCUGUACCACCGGAGUUUUUCACACUCUGACAUGCGUCAGUGUGCGCUUAUGCGGUAUUAUCACCUAUUUCUAAGUGUUAUCCCCCGGUACAGGGCAGGUUACCCACGUGUUACUCACCCGUCCGCCACUAAAAUGAAAUGAAUCCAACCGAAAUCUUCAUCAAAACAUUUCCGUUCGACUUGCAUGUGUUAGGCACGCCGCCAGCGUUCAUC